CCGGGCUGUCCCGGCUCUGCUCCCAGCCUAGCUGUGCAGCCUGGGGUGGGGGGGGGGGGGGGGCUCUCUGAGCCUCAGUUUCUCCAUCGGUGAAAUGGGGGUAGUUAGUCCUCCCUCGGGGUUGUGAGAGUGGAGAGCGAGCAGAGUGAAGCUGUCGCUGACAUCAUCCACAACGGGUGGGACAUUGGAUGACGCCACCCCCUCCCCAAGGCAGAGCGCCAUCCCAACAACGGGGUCUGGAGCCCGACGUCCUGGGUUCGAAACCCCUCCUCUGCCACUCAUCAACCUGCGUGACGGGUUCAUCUGUCUGCGCCUCUGUUUCCCCUUCUGUAAAAGAUGGUACCCUGGUCUCGGAGCUGCUGAGGGGAGUAAAUGAGCCUGUGGGAAGCUGGGUCGGGCCUAUCGUCAACCGAAAGAGGUGAGCCUCUUCCCUCUGACAAGAUUGAAAUUCUAGAGAAAAUCAGAGAUAGAAGCAUGGUGUCUGUACCAGCCCUGGUGAGUCUGGGGAGGCCCCGAAUCUCCAUCCCAGACCCUGGCCACCUCUUAACUCCCCUCUUUCCCUUUCAGCCUCUCCUUUACUACAUCCCUCCGCUCCCAGAUCCCCAGUUUACCUCCCUGUGAGAUGGGCUCAAACAGGCCCAUCCUCUUCUCCAUUCUCCCGCAAAACUGCUCCUAAGCCCGACCCUUUCUCCCCAGAUUCUGGUCCAACCCCAGCAGAAUCUGUCCCUGUAACCAGCAAGGCACUGCCUCCCUGGUCUCCGUGCUUCUGCUCUCAGCCCCCAUAGAACCUUCCCUCCAUGUGGCCAGGGUCAGACUCGUCCUGCCUUUCUCGAGAACCCUCUAUGGCUCCCACCUUCCGUGGGGUAAGAGCCAAAGGCCUUGCCAUAGCCCCAGGACCCUGCUGGCCUUGCGGUUCCCACUUCUUUCCAACUGUUGGCAGGGAGGCUGGGGAGAGCCCCGGGUCCUACGGCCUCCAUCCAGCUGCACCCCGGGAUGCUGCCAGAGACUCUUGGUCUCCUUUGCGAGAAAGAAUUCGAGGACAGACCAGGCAUAACGGCUGAGUGGUUCAAGAAGGAACGUGUAGUUCAAGCGAGAGUACACUCUUGAGAGGCUGUGUACCAGGUACUAGUUCAUCCCAUCACCCCCAACAACGCUAUAAGGCAAAGUCUGAGCUUCCUGGGGCUGGAACAGAUGACCGUGAACCUGCCACAUUUCAAACAACUUGUUCUCACACAGUCCAGGGGGCCGGAGGCCUGGAACCCAAGUGGUGGCGAGGUGGGCUCCUCCUGGGGGCUCAGAGGGAGCGCCCAACCCAGGCCUGUCUCCUGGCUUCCCGUGGUCGCCGGCAGCCUGUGGGGUUCCUUGGCUUGUGGCUGCAUCACCCCGAUGUCUGCCUCUAUGUCCACGUGCACGUGGCCUUUGUCUCCGUCUUCUUCUUUGUCCCUUAACCCGAGUCCCCGAAGCUCUUGUCUCCAGAUCCAAAGCUCAUUAUGUUUGCAGUGACCCUUGUUAAAGAACAAAAAUUGGACCAAGUAGAAGAUCUAAUUGCCUUUAUCAAACCAGACACGGGGCGCCUGGGUGGUUCAGUCGAUUAAGCGUCCGACCUCAGCUCAGGUUACGAUCUCAUGGCUCAUGGGUUCGAGCCCCGCAGCGGGCUCUGUGCUGACAGCUCAGAGCCCGGAGCCUGCUUCGGAUUCUGUGUCUUUCUCUCUCUGCUCCUCCCCCGCUCACACUGUCUCUCAGAAAAUAGAUAAAUGUUAAAAAAAAAAAAUUGUUUUUUUUUAAUCAGGCCAGGCACAAAUGGGACAGCAUUGCACCUAGUGACUGGAGGGGAGCUGGGAGGAGUUGUAAAAAAAAUGGAAGGUUUUUACCAGAAGGGUGGGGCUAGAAAGUUAUUAGCAAAAGAAAAGAGGGGCGCCUGGGUGGCUCAGUCGGUUGAGCGUCCGACUUCAGCUCAGGUCGCUAUCUUGCGGUCCGUGAGUUUGAGCCCCGCGUCAGGCCCUGGGAUGGCCCAGAGCCUGGAGCCUGCUUCCGAUUCUGUGUCUCCCUCUCUCUCUGACCCUCCCUCGCACACGCUCUCUCUCCCAAAAAUAAAUAAUUUAAAAAAAUUAAAGAACAAGAAAGAAAGAAAAUUCCUGGCUGACUGGUUAAGACUUACAUUCUCAGGGAGGUUGAAUUUGCAAUUAGGUUAGGUAUUAAGCCCCUUUUUGGCCUAAGGGACACUAUCUUGGACAUUUGGUUUUGCUUUCACGCCCUUUAAGGUCACAUUCUCAGGUUGUGGGUAGACAUCUCUUUUUUGUGAGGGGGGGGCACAACCCAGCAUUGUCCAAGAAGAUCAUUAUCAGCUCUACUUUAUGGGCAACUGAGGCACAGAGAGAUCAGGUUGCUGCUCUGAGGGGCUAGGACUUCAACCCUGGCUGUCGGGAGCCUGAGUCUAUUCGCUUCACCGCUCUGGAAUCCUCUCCAAUCUGCUGUGGGCCAAGCCCUUGCCGGAAGCUGGGGACAUCGAGGCGAGCAAGGAUUGGAAGCAACAGAGAUCAUUUAAAAAUGCCUUGUGUUAUGGAAAAUUUCAAACAUGCCCUGAAGUCAAGAAUGCACAGUGACCCAUGGGCCCGUCCCCGGACGUUCAGUGACCCAGGAGGCACUGACACUGAGUUCCAUGACACUCCUUCCCCCUCGACCUUAUGAGGUUCCUGCUAAUCCCAGGGUCAUGCUUCUCAUCCGAGACUUGAGAUGGGUCUUACAGGAUGAGCCCAGCUCCAAAAUCAAAAUCACCCUUGAGACCCUCUCUCCCCGUCUCUCCCCCAUCUGUCUGUCUCUCUCACAGGUGGACUGGGUCCCCUGUCUCACCUCCCCCGUCUCCUGCAUCUACCUCGGGGCCUCCAGUCUGAGUGGGAUGAGCCACGCUGUCGAACCUCCGGGGAAUGGUUGACGGGCUGGACUUUGAAAGGGGCCAAAGUUAUACACGCUGAGCCCAACCUGGGCCUGGCUGCCUUGCCCCACCCGUUAACCCCCUCCCCUCAUCCUGGGAGCCACAUUGCUGGGUCCCAAAGCCUCCCACCCCAGCUCCCCCAUUGGUCACCCUGAAUCCAACCUCCUGGUGACCCCAGGGGCUCCGGGGUCUCAAGGCACCGGUCUGGGCUCCUCAGCACCCCCAAGAUUAUUCUACAAGAGAAGCAGGACCACGAGUGGACCUUGUCAAGGGGCGGCUGCGCACUGGGCAUGGCUGAGGCGGUGCUGCUGAACGCCGCCUCACUGGGUUGGCCCGCACCCUGCAAGGAAGCCUGCCGUGUAGACGAACAACUCAGGCACUUGGACAACGGUGGGAAUCGCGGUCCACCCGUUGUGUCGAUUUACGUCAGCAUAAAGCAAACACGUACAGCAGACAGGGCAAAGGACACCAAAUCCAAUCUAGGAUUUAUUUUUAUUUUAUUUUAUUUUUGUUUAUCCUGAGAGAGAGAUGGAGCGCGUGUGAGCAGGGGAGGGGCAGAGACAGUGAGAGGGAGAGAGAGAAUCCCAAGGAGGUUAUUAUGUCAUUGCACAGAUGGGGAAACGGAGGCAGCGUCUGGGUGUGGGGCUUUGACAGCUGUGACAUCUCCCAGCCUAGACUGACUGCUUUUAUCUUCUUUUCUGUGUUUAUGUAACAGUAUGUUCGUGUGUAUUUCGCCAAGGCUUUGCAGAUACCACCUUAGGGUCGCCAUGAUUUAAAAUACAGAUGCGUUUUAUUCCGAAGGGAGGAAGGGAACAUUACCAGGCACGUCUGGACAGCUAGAGUCUAUAGUGAGAUAGCACUUGACGUCCUUACGUAGGUACAGCAAAUAACUCAAGUUCCCCCAACAGAAGACUUUGUAUAAAAGCACGUGAAUUUUAUGGGGCGCCUGGGUGGCUCAGUCGGUUAAGCGUCCGACGUCGGCUCAGGUCAUGAUCUCUCAGUCCGUGAGUUUGAGCCCCGCGUCGGGCUCUGGGCUGACAGUUCGGAGCCUGGAGCCUGCUUCCGAUUCUGUGUCUCCCUCUCUCUCUGACCCUCCCCCCAUUCAUGCUCUGUCUCUCUCUGUCUCAGAAAUAAAUAAACGUUAAAAAAAAAAUUAAAAAAAAAAAGCACGUGAAUUUUGUUAUGAUGUUGCCUUUCCCCAACUGGUCUUAAAAUAAAAUUUCAUAUAACUGUGUUAAAGGUCAGCUUUGUUAGGGCAUAACUCCCAUACAGUAGAAUUCAGUACGUGACUCACGUACUGAGCCUGGGUGGCUCAGCUGGUGAAGCGUCCGACUCUUGAUUUCAGCUCAGGUCAUGAUCUCGUGGUUCGUGGGAUCGAGCCCAGAGUUGGGCUCUGUGCUGAUGGCGAAGAGCCUGCUUGGGAUUCUCUCUCUCCGUCUCUCUGCCCCUCCCCUUCCUGAGCUCUCUUUCUCUCUCUCUCUCUCGAAAUAAAUAAAUAA